GAAGAUCCAAGGGUGGACAUUAAGUGGCCAAGGCUAUAAAUAGAAGAGUAAUCCCCUCAUUUUCACUCACCACACUACAAGCAAACUCAAGAGCUUUCACUCCACACUUGCCCACACGUUUUUGCCUCCAAGCUUCCAAGCUUUCAAGUGCUCAAGUGUCCUAGCUUUCCAAAGCUCUCCAACUUCUUCUUCUAAUCUUCUUGUUCAUCUUUACAAGUAAGAAGUGUUGUUUGCUUUAAUAUUCUACUUCUCUAAUCACCUCUUGUGUGUCCACUUUGGUUGAGAGGGUUGUCUCAAUAGUACCAAAGUGUGAGAGAAGGUUUUCGAGCUCAACCAUAAAUCUCUAGUUUGGUUUUAUAGAGUUUCUGGGAAAACUCUUAGGUCAAAUCUACCUUGAAAGAUUUCUAGGUUUUUAAGAGUUCCUUGAUACUCUAAGGUACUAACUUACCCGUAAAAGUUAGAGGUUCUUAAAAGUGCCCUCGAUACUCUAAGGUGUGAGUCUACCCGUAAAAGACUGGUUCUUAAGCGAAGUAGUCUUAAAGCUUAGAGAGGUUUUUAAGAGUUCCUUGAUACUCUAAGGUACUAACUUACCCGCAAAAGUUAGAGGUUCUUAAGAGUGCUCUUGAUACUCUAAGAUGUGAGUCUACAUGUAAAAGAUUGGUUCCUAAGCGAAGUAGCCUUAAAGCUUAGAGAGGUUCUUAAGAGUUUCCUUGAUAUUCUAAGGUUUUGCCAUAACCUUUAGACUAGUGAAUUCCGACAGUUGGUCGGGACUGGAUUAGCCCUUGUUUGGGUGAACCAGUAUAAAUUCUCUUGUGUUGUUCUUUGUUAACUUUAGUUUUUAUUUUUCAUUUAAAAACAAUUAAACAACACUUAAUUGAAAAGGAUCACUCUUCCAGUUAUCUGGUCAAAUACAGAGGUUGACUACUUUACGCAAAUCCCUCAUCCAGUUAUCUGGUCAACUAUCUGUGGUUAUAUUUAUUGCUUUAAAUCUUUAUUCAUAUAUUUGUUCAAGCAUUUACUUAUCAUAUAUAUAUCCAGUUAUCUGGUCAUAUCUUGCUUAUCAAAUAUAUAUCCAGUUAUCUGAUCAUUUACUCUAUAAUAUAACUUGUGUUUAUAAUAUAACUUAAUAUUUAUAUACUACAGUUGUUUAUAAAACACUAUCUAAAAGUUGACUCUGUACUCAUAUACUGAAGUAAACUUUUAUAGAAAAAGGCAAGUCCAAUAUAUAAUAUUAUAAGAUAUAAUAUUAUACUCCUUAAAAUCAUAUAAUAGUAUUAUAUUGCUAACAAUAUUAUACUAUUAUUAUUAUACAACCAUUUGUGUACUUAAGUGUGUGCAGGUAAUUCCGUUAUUAAUCUGCACAAAUCGAAAAGAGACUAUUAUCUCUUCUUAUACGGAUGAUGAUCCAACAAAUUCAUCAUUUAAUCCUAAUAAGAAAUGAUGAAUCCUAUCUUUCCAAUUUUUUUAUUGUAAAUUGGAGUGCAUAAUGCAGAAAACAUGCAAUCAGGUUUUUCUAUUUCUACAAAUUGAUCUCAUAAAGACUUAAAUUUAUCAAAAAAAAAUUGAUACAAAAACACUUGACUGAUUUAAGGUAUUAAUCUUAUACCUUAGUUGAUUUGUUUUAUGAGCAUUUUUCUGUUUGUACCUUUCUUAAAAGUCUGACCAUGCUCCAUAUUCUGUCUCCGUAUGAAUAAGAGUAGAUGUUAUAUGAGGACUUACAUUGUUAAUGAUCCAAGACAGAAUUAGACCAUUAAUCAUUUCCCAAUCUUCAUAUUCUUCCCUUGUCUCAUCCAGAGGCUUCUUUAUCUUGCCAUUGAUGAAAGCUGUCUUCUUUUUAGACACCAAGGAUAAUUUCAUCGAAUUGGCCCAGGCCACAUAAUUCUCUUCACCUGUGAGUUUGUCUCCCACCAUUUGGGCACCUGGGUGAUCUCCAGCACUAAGGUAAUAUAGAGAUUUUCUUGAGUGGUUGUUGUUGUUUUUAUGCCGAUAUCUCUUGGAUAUUGUUUGAUACGCUUAGUACCAAGGGAGGGAGACCAGAGCUUCUCGAAUCUCUUACAAUUAAAAAGAAUUAUAAUACUCAAGAUUGAUUUCCUUUAUUCCAUAAUAACGUGACUUUAUAUAGCCUUACAAAUACUAACAAAUCUGAAAACAAAUCAUAAAUUGCUAAAUCAACAUGCAUAGAAAGAAAUAAUAAACGUGGAUGGAAAUCAAGAAAUAAAUAAUUUAAUGUUAAAUGCAAUGUAUAGAGAAUCGAGCGUAUCAUUGUUUUUCCUAGUUUUGGGUCUUGGAGACCGAAAAUUUGUUGAGUCGCUUUUAUUGGUCGAGUUUGCAGAGCUUCCUUCAUUGGAUUUCUCUGAUUCAUCACUUGAGCUUGUUAUCAUUGAGGAAGCAGAGGGAAUGUCGACGUCGUUACCUAUUGAUACCAUGUUAAAUCAGUGCGCAGGCAACUUUCCGGGAGAAAUGAAAUCAGUGGCCGGAAUUGAACGCGAGCUUGAAGUGCAAGAAUUGGU
rnacentral:lncRNA from 1 species